UACGGCGGCCAUAGCGAAACGGGAAACACCCGGUCCCAUACCGAACCCGGAAGUUAAGCCUUUCAGCGCCGAUGGUA
rnacentral:rRNA from 1 species